UCUUCUACAAGUCUCCUACCAAAGAUGUAGAUGCAAUUUUACUUCUCUUGUUUGCUAGACCAAAAGACCGAAAAAGGCUGCUGGGUCUGUAACUUAUCAGCUUCAGGGUUAAGAUGGAAUUCCUGGACAUGUGUCAAGUAGGCAAGCAGGGCUUUGCCUGUCUAUCGGCCCCCCUCAGCCAAGCUAUUUCUUAAGUUCAAUUCCGAAACGUUUCAUCUGUGUUCAAAUUGAAUGCUCAGGGAUGAAGACAUCACAUUGGAAGAAACCAAGGAACUGGUGAUUUUCAAGUUAUCAAUGUUAAGAUUCUGCAAGCAGCAGAUACUCGCGGUUUUUAUUUUUCACCUGACAGAAGGAAGCAAGAUGGAAAUUGGUGAUACUUGCUUAACAAUGUCAAGAUGCUGCAACCUGCAAGUAUCAAAUGAGUAGUACAUACCAAAUUACUAAGUUAUGACUUGUCAGAAUAAGAAUGAUGGCAUAUACGAUACAAGGUGUUUGAAGGUUCAUGAAGGAGAGUACUUUUUAAGGGCAUCGGAUCACGCAGACUUAAAAUGUAAGGGCCUUGUUUCACAGGAUUUUGCACACAUUUCGACAAUAUGAAGAUUAUGGGCCAUGACCACCAUAGUGCUCUAAAGCAGGCAAGUUUCUUUUUUGUAAGAAACAUUGGUGCAAGGUUAUGAUUGUUAAGUU